rnacentral:rRNA from 1 species
AUUGAACGCUGGCGGCAUGCUUUACACAUGCAAGUCGGACGAGUGGCGAACGGGUGAGUAAUAUAUUGGAACGUACCUAGUAAUGGGGGAUAACGAAUCGAAAGAUUGGCUAAUAGUGCAUAGUAUGCGAGCGGCCGACAUCUGUUUAGGUAGUUGGUGGGGUAAAGGCAGACCAAGGCGACGAUCCGUAGCAGGUCUGAGAGGAUGAUCCGCCACACUGGGACUGAGACACUGCCCAGACUCCGACGGGAGGCAGCAGUAGGGAAUCUUCGGCAAUGGGCGCAAGCCUGAUCCAGCCAUGCCGCGUGUGUGAAGAAGGCUUUCGGGUUGUAAAGCACUUUUGUUAGGGAAGCGGUACCUAACGAAUAAGCACCGGCUAACUACGUGCCAGCAGCCGCGGUAAUUC